GAGUUUGAUCCUGGCUCAGGAUGAACGCUAGCGGCAGGCCUAAUACAUGCAAGUCGAGGGGUAGAGCUAGCUUGCUAGCUUGAGACCGGCGCACGGGUGCGUAACGCGUAUGCAACCUACCCAAACCUGGGGGAUAGCCCGGAGAAAUCCGGAUUAAUACCGCAUAAAACCACAGCACGGCAUCGUGCAAUGGUCAAACAUUCAUGGGGUUUGGAUGGGCAUGCGUGCCAUUAGUUGGUUGGCGGGGUAACGGCCCACCAAGACCGCGAUGGCUAGGGGAUCUGAGAGGAUGGCCCCCCACACUGGUACUGAGACACGGACCAGACUCCUACGGGAGGCAGCAGUAAGGAAUAUUGGUCAAUGGGGGCAACCCUGAACCAGCCAUGCCGCGUGCAGGAAGACGGCCCUCCGGGUUGUAAACUGCUUUUAUUCGGGAAUAAACCUGCUUACGUGUAAGUAGCUGAAUGUACCGAAGGAAUAAGGAUCGGCUAACUCCGUG
rnacentral:rRNA from 1 species